CAAAGAUAGGCCGCUGACUUGUAUUACUUGCUCUAGUCGGAGUUCAGCCUGUUUUUCAUGCGGCUACCAGUUCUUCUUCUUCUCCACUAAAAAAACAGUUCUUCUUCAUCCCCACUGGAAAAAAAAAAGUUCUUCAUCCUCUCAAAAAAAGAAAAAAGUUGUUCUUCAUGCUCAAGGAGGUCGGCCUCCGGCGUCUGGUCGACGGGUGCC
rnacentral:lncRNA from 1 species